GGGGCUGACCGGUUUUGACAGCAAGGAUAAUGGAUUUGUAAGCAUGCAGGCUCACACAUCAGCAGCCUUGAAAACGGAUGUAAAACAAUAAUUGGCGAAAAUAAUUACGCUCUUGCUGCUUAAGCUGAAGAACAGUAGGCUUGCAUUAUUUCGGCACAAGGUGCUGAAACAAGACAUUUCCCGACAACCCCGCCCAUCGGUUUUCGAUAUGGAAGUGCUCGUGAGAAUGGGAUAGUUGUAACAGGGCUUUGAUGUUGCAAUGAAGUUAAUCGAAGCUAAGGUUUAAUUUGGGUGUCUU
rnacentral:tmRNA from 1 species